ensembl:lncRNA
GUUUACCCAAAAAGUAUCUAAAUUUUGACAUAAGUUUUUAUUGUGAACAUCUCUUAUUUCUUAUAGAUGGACCGCAUCAUCUUUUGUGUCUUCUUGGAAGUUGACUUCAAAAUUUUCAAGAAGAAAAUGAGUGAAUAUUUCCCUACAGAGGGAUUAGAAGCAAAGGGCCUCUCUCCUCCUCCCAAGAAGAGCAAAGCAAAGAAGUCAGAAAGUGUGAAAGAGUCUAAUGAGGGUAGGUGGCAUUUGUUCUUUCCCUAAAAAUCCCCAGCCACUAUUUAUUAAGGAGAAAAAAAUUGGAUCUUUUUUCAUUUUUUAAACUGGCCAGGAUAUGCUCAAUUUUUUAGGCAAUUCUAGUGUCCCAUGCAUCCCUGCAGGAGCCUGUAGAUAAAUCAAAGAUUAUUAUUUGUAUAUUACUUAAUACCUUUUAUUGUUUCCAAAUUGCUUCCAGCACCAUCACCCCCCCCCACACACACACACAAUACACUCUUUUAAUCCUCAUUGUAAGAUAAACAUCAGAUACAGGUUUAUUUGUUUCUGAGGGCUUUUUUUAAGUAAAUGAAAAAAAAAAAAGAGCCAUGUUCCCAGUAUAAUGUAUUUUCUCUUUCUGCAAAGUGGAAAAUUGCAGGUUAUCUUUGCAAGUAACAUUGUCUGAAAUUGUGUGAUGGUUAAGGUCAAGAUCAAUGCGCAUUGGCGCAUUGCCCGAUGACUAAACUAUUGGCUUAUUGGGAUAAUUUGUUCUUCUCUUGAACAUAUUCCCAGAAUCAAACUACUGCAAUGGAUGAUAAAAAUACUUCCUGCUGAACAUUUUAUUUUGUUUUGUAUCGACUGUAGAGUCCAUGUUUAGCUCUAUUCUGCAAAGAAAGAAAGCAUUGAGCAGUGGAAAAAGUCUUGGAUUGUACUUCAGAAGGUCUGAGUUCAAACACUGGCUUUGACACUAUCUGUGCAGCCCUUCAGCUUAUCUUUCCUUACUAUGCCAAAUGAGAAACUUGGGUUAGACAUCUUCUAAGGUCUCUUCUAUAGUAUCUCUCCCUUUCUGAAUAUCUAAGGAUUCUUUUGGGUAACCAGGGUAUUGUUUAGGGAUCCAGAAGAACUAACACUUAUGAAAUACUUGUCCUAGCUGUGCUCUAGGAACAUAAUGAGGAAUCUAUGAUUAACGUUCUAAAAAUUGCUAGACAUUAAGUGUUUUGGGACAACUAGAUGAAUACUACUCUUGGAGUCAAGAUCUGAGUUCAAGUAAGACUUCAGAGAUUUACUGUGUGACUUUAGGCAAGUUACUUAACCCCUAUUUCCUUCAGUUCCUAAUCUGUAAAAAGGCAGCUGUUUUUUAUAAUGAAAUAGCAAAGUAUUCUAGUAUCUUUGCCAACAAAAUUCCAUGGACAAGAGUCCAUUAAGAAUUCAUUCAUUCAUUCAUUUAUUUAUAUAUUAAUUCAAAAAAUAUUUAUUAAUCACGGGGGAGGGGAGAGAAAAAUAAAAAGAAACUAGAGCCUUUAUCUCCAAAAUUUUGUAUGUAGAGCAACAACUAAAUCAAAAUAGAAAGUAUGUGUAUAUAUGUGUGUGUGUGUGUGUACAUAUAUACAUACAUAUGUAGUUUGAACAAGGUGUUAAUAGUAUGGAUGAUGUCACUCCUGACCAAAAGGAUCAGGAAAGAUUCAAUAAAGAAAUAGCAUUUCAACUGAACUUUGAAGGAUAAGGAUGAUUUAAAGAGGUGGAGUUAGGGUGAGAGGAGAAUGCAGAAGAAAUCAUAGGAUGGCUAGAAUAGAUGUCAGAAGAACUAUAAUUCACUCCCCUAAUUGACAAAUGAGGAAACUUCAGGGAUCAGGGAUGUUCUCCAACAUCAUUCAAUAUUUGAGGCAUAUGGAAAAAUAUAAACACAAAGACCCAGAGAAUGUAGGAUAUGUGUAAGGAAAGUAACUUUUCCACUUCAACUUGAGUAGAAUAUGGAAGAGAAAAUAGUGUGAGAAGGCUGAAAAAGCAAGUACAGAUAGAUUGUGAUUGGCCAUGAAUACAAGAUUAAGGAGCCUGGACUUUUUUUGAUUGGCAAUGGGGAACAUUUAAAAGUUUGCAAGGUAUUUAUAAUGUGAUAAAAGCCAUACAUUAGGGAAAUUAUUCUGAUAGUGAUAUAUAGGGUAAGUUGAAGGGAGGGAGAUCAGAGAAAAAAGUAUGAAGAAGAUAGCACUUUUCCGAGUUAUCUUCCAAUUCUGAGAUUCUGUGACUGAGUAGCACCUCUGACUGACUUACUAGCUGUGGGAUCUUGGAUGAAUCACAUCCUUUUGGAAUCCUCAGUGACCUAAUCUAAAAAGGGGUUAUCAGCAUUCCAGUUACACAGACUUGUGAAGAAAGUGCUUUGUGAUGAAAAAGCAUUCUGCAUGUGAUGUGAGCCUUUUCUCUUGUGCUCUCUGCUGGUGAGGGUGAAACAGGUACAAACAUUAAGCUGCCUUUCCCCUGGAGAGUUUCAUCCUUCCCAUCAAAGGUAUGUCAUCCUUCAAAGAUUUGUUGUUGGUUUUUCUCCCCAUCGAGAACUGCUCUUUUGCCCUUUCAGCUUGUCAUGUUAUGGGUAAUACACUGAAGACUGUUUUCCUCAUAACAUGUUAUUAUCAAGGGAACUCCUGAAAGUUACUCUUUCCCCCCCCCCAAAAAAAAUGUUUCACUCUCCACUAAAAUAAGUUACUUUUUUGAAACCUCUUGACAAUGAGUCAGUGAUGUGGCUUUAGUUGCCCAGCCCCAGUGUGGGAAGAGUCACCAUGGUCCAUAAAGAUUAAGGAAAUAAUCCUUUCGUUUUCUAAGGCAUCUUUGUGCCUUAGGGGACAUCGUUGUGUCAGUCACAUCAUAAUUACAUCUAAAUGACGAGCAUGUCCUUGGCACGCCAGGAUGGCAUUAUUUGAAGAGCAGAUACAUCUUCCUGAGUUUAAUUCUGCCCUCUGACAUUUAGUAGUUAUGUGACACUGAGCAGAUCAUUUAACCUGGUUUGCCUCAGUUUCCUUAUCUGUAAAAAGCUAGAGAGGGAAAAUGGCAAAUCACAAAGGUAUCUUUGUCAAGAAAACCUUGAAUAGGGUCAUGAAGAGUUGGAUACAGCUAAAAUGAUUAAGCAUCAACAAAUUAUUUUCUAUAGUACAAUAAUAUUCCAUUACAUUCCUGAACCAAUGUUUCUAACCAUUUGACAAUGAUGGACAUUUUAACAAAAAUUUUAAUUCUUUUCUACCUCAAAGAAUACUAUUAUAAAUAUUUUGCUACAUAUAAUAUCCUUCUUUUUUAUUCAUUUAAUACAACUUUGAGAUUGUAAGCUCUUGGAGAGUAGGGAUUUUAUCUUGUCUCUUUUUGUAUUCCCAAUGCUUAAUAUGGUCCCUGGUAAAUGGUAAAGACUCUUGAAUGCUUAAUAAUUGAUUAACGGAAUACUGGGUGACAAAGCCAAGACUCAGGAAGAUGAAAUAAUUUUCUGAAGGUUUUUAGCAUGUUUGUGACUGACCUCAUAUACAGUGCUUUGUCCAAAAGCCAGACUACCUCUUGGUUCUAUAAUUCACCAUCCAGUUCUCUGCACAUAGUAAUGGAGCAUUUUAUGGACUAACAAAUCAUUUUUGCUCAUAAUAAGCAAAGUGGAAUAGUGGAAAAUGUUCCACUAAACAAACGCAAAUUUGAGGUUUAAAUCCCCACUCUGAUUCUAGCUAUGUGGCCACAUAACUUCUCUGCAUCUUAGUUUCUUCACCUAUAAAACAAGGAGAUUCCUUCUAGCUCUAGGAUUCUAAGUAGUUAAUACAAAUAUCAGUUUCCUCAUUUUACAUAAAAUAAAAAUAGGACCCCUGAGGAAUGCUCUGUUCCUUUUGAAUUUGCUUGCUCUCCAACUAGCUGGACAAAUAGAUGCCACCAGAGACACUCACUGCAGCCCCUUUGCUUCAUUUACAGAUGUCCCACAAAGCUGUCUAUAAAUCACUUUUUUAGAAAUAAAGUGUAUCCUAUCAUAUUUCCCUAAUGAAUUACAUUUUAAAGCUCAGAGAAUUAUUCCCACAAGUAUGAAAAUCUCCCUACAGUGUAUUGUGGCCAUCAUUAGGCUGCACCGGUGCUUGAUAGGAAUCACAAUUUAAUAGUAUACUUCUCUAGAGUAGCACUCUCCUGACACUAAGACAAAUCAACAUCUUUCUACCACCAGCAAGACAUCCUUCCUAAGCUCCUUUAGGAGUUGUUACCUCCUUUUCCAUUUAACCAAUUCUAUACUUUAUGAAGUGUUUUUUUUUCCCAUUGUUUUGUGCUUCCUUUUCCAAAUUGACUACUUUUUCAAGAUUCUCUUAUAUAAUUCUCAUUUGUUUUCCCAUUGUUUCUUCUACUUCUC